UAUGCAGCGUCUUGAUUGAUUGGUUCCCGUUUACUUUGGUUGCCAAACUGUGCGCUUGUAGCUUUUGGUUAGCCUGUACUCGAGGGCAAGUCGCUCUAAAGGUAGACUCGGUGAAAGCUGUUAGGGCAUAGGUAAUUGCUUAUAUAAAAUGUUCCGCUUCUUUCAUCUUUUCUGUUUGAGAGUCAAAGUUGCGGUGAUGAUUGAUCAAUUAACUCAGUUAGGGACGGGCAUGUUCGGUAAGCCUUUCCCUUCCCUGCUUUUCAGGUGCUGUGAUGAUACUAUAUAAAAAAG
rnacentral:lncRNA from 1 species